AAGGAAAAACGGAAUCCUGCACAUUGUCGAAAGUUUUGUUUAGUUUUGAGAGGUCUACUCUCAAUUCGUUCUUUGAAAACUAGAUAAUAUUAAUUUUCUGUAAUAAUUUUUUUGAAAUUGUAUUUAAUAUAAUUUCAACCGAGAAUACCGCGUUAUUUUGAGUUUGUUAACUAGAAAAAAUCGCAAAUACUCAAUUAACUUUGCAUCACGUAGUGAUGUACA
rnacentral:misc_RNA from 1 species